GACUUCGCCGACUACUUCACUAUCAUUUUCCACUGAGCAGGUUUUCAUUCAUUCACAAUUGGUACUCAGCCCAAGUCCCCAGCAUCCCCCGAGACCCUCCCCAUGCUUUCCGAGCUGUAGUUUAGCAUGCACUAGAAGACAAGCACUGGUGCUUUCUCGGUAGACCUACAGGCUGCCGGUUGGAGCCGUCCGGGAGCGAAAAGAAGAAUUAGACUGUGUGUUUAUGUGGCUGGGCUCCAGUAAAUAUUUUGAUGCAUCUGCUGCCAGCUCUGGUCUGAGGGAAUCUACCUGGCAUUUAGAUUUGGAUGGGGAGCUGUUUUGAAUGAUAACGGUGCAGCUGGCUGUGAGUCAGUGCAUGUGUGUUGGCUGGGAAAAAAAAAAAUCUCCUAGCUCAACGUUUGCUGAAUGCUGAGCUGCAGUGCUCGCUGCCUUUUUUUUUUGUGAGUAGACGAGCCAAACAGAUUUUUUUCGGGGGCGACAAGGAAACUCAAAAGUCACCCUCAACUACCUUUAAACAUGGGGGCUGUGAUGGGCACCUUCUCCUCACUGCAGACCAAACAAAGACGACCCUCCAAAGGCCUUACUUUGUACACUGACUAGAUGCCUGCCCUCAAGGAACUUAGAAAUGAAGGGAGAAGAGACACAUAGGAAAAGAAAAUAAUUUGAAAUUGAAAAUAUUGAACCUUAUAAUUGGAAGCUCUUGAGUCCUCUGCCUGUAAACUCCUUGUGGGUAGGGAACGUGUCUACCAACUCUGUUUAUGCUGUUCUCUCCCAAGUGCUUAGUACAGUGCUCU
rnacentral:lncRNA from 1 species